rnacentral:rRNA from 1 species
GAUGAACGCUGGCGGCGUGCUUAACACAUGCAAGUCGAACGAAGCACUUCAAUUUCUUCGGAUUGAGAAGUGACUGAGUGGCGGACGGGUGAGUAACGCGUGGGUAACCUGCCUCAUACAGGGGGAUAACAGUUAGAAAUGACUGCUAAUACCGCAUAAGCGCACAGUACCGCAUGGUACGGUGUGAAAAACUCCGGUGAUAUGAGAUGGACCCGNGUCUGAUUAGCUAGUUGGUGAGGUAACGGCUCACCAAGGCGACGAUCAGUAGCCGACCUGAGAGGUGACCGGCCACAUUGGGACUGAGACACGGCCCUAAACUCCUACGGGAGGCAGCAGUGGG